rnacentral:lncRNA from 1 species
CUGCACAGUGACACCAUCCCUGGUGAGUGUGCUGUGCUGGCAUGGAGGGGCUGUGCUGUGUCACCCUCACCUCCAUGGUGGCUCUGUCCCCAAUGUGCUGUGCCAGCCUCACCUCCGCACUGUGACACUUGGUGACACCACGGCCAGUGUCCUCCGGGGCAGUGUCCAGCAGGACAGACCCACAGGCGCCGUGAGGGAGGAUCCCAGUGAGGAGCUGACGGAUUCCAGAGCUCCUGUCCUGCGCUGGAAGGGGCUGGCAGAGCCCAGACCCGCCGGUUUCUUGCAGCAGUUUGUGGCAGCAAGGCGAGAAUUGAUUAUUCAGCGGCU